rnacentral:rRNA from 1 species
CAAUAGCGUAUAUUAAAGUUGUUGCGGUUAAAAAGCUCGUAGUUGGAUUUCUGCUGAGAACGACCGGUCCGCCCUUUGGGUGUGUAUCUGGCUCUUUCUUGGCAUCUUCUUGGUGAACGUUGCUGCACUUGACUGUGUGGAGCGCUACCCAGGACUUUUACUUUGAGGAAAUUAGAGUGUUUCAAGCAGGCAUACGCCUUGAAUACAUUAGCAUGGAAUAAUAAGAUAGGACCUCGGUUCUAUUUUGUUGGUUUCUAGAGCUGAGGUAAUGAUUAAUAGGGAUAGUUGGGGGCAUUCGUAUUUAACUGUCAGAGGUGAAAUUCUUGGAUUUGUUAAAGUCAGACUACUGCGAANGNAUUUGCNAAGGAUGUUUNCAUUG